CAUGUCUUUUUGAUUAUAAUUUAAGGUUUAAUCUGCUCAAUGAGGAUUUAAAUUGCCGCGGUAUUUUGACUGUGCAAAGGUAGCAUAAUAAUUAGUUUUUUUAUUGAAAGCUGGAAUGAAUGAUUGGACGAGAAAACUACUGUCUCCUUUCAAAUUUUAUUGAAUUUAACUUUUGAGUAAAAAGGCUCAAUUAAUUUUUAAAGACGAGAAGACCCUGUAGAGUUUAAUUAAUUUUUUAUUAUGACUUUUUUGGAAUUGUUUGUUAUAUUAAUUUAUUUAUUUGGUUGGGGUGACUUAAAGAUUUAUUUAACUCUUUUAUUUUUUUAUCAAUGAUUUUUGAUUAUUAAAUUUGAUUUUUUUAAAUUUAAGAUAAAUUACCUUAGGGAUAACAGCGUAAUUUUCUUUUAAAGUUCUUAUUGGAAGGAAAGUUUGCGACCUCGAUGUUGGAUUAAAAUUUAUUUUUGGUGCAGAAGCUGAAUAAUUAAGUCUGUUCGACUUUUGAAAUUUUACAUGAUCUGAGU
rnacentral:rRNA from 1 species